CCUUCGAUAGCUCAGUUGGUAGAG
rnacentral:piRNA from 5 species